UCCCGCCUUUUCUUGGUUCCCUAACACGGGCCUCACUCAUCAAAUUCAAAUCAAUCUUUGAUUACGACCACUUAGCAUCGUCAUUUGCCGAUUCAAUUGGUUGGCUUUUGUUAAAAUCAGUGAUUAUUUUGAAUUUUUUUUUUUACUAUGCCAAGAUCUAAUUGCAUUGUUGAUAUCUUCUUGUUAUUUUGCGUUCUCAAUUUCAUUUUUUGCGUUCAUGACUUCGUUAAAUUUGAAGAACUUUGUGCGAGAGCUAGGGUUUCUUUUGCAUCUGAGAUAGAGGUCCGAAAUUUUAGAGUUUCGGAAAAAGGAAAAGAAUUCGUUGGUUGCUGUAAAUUUUUGGUGACUUGCUUUUUUUUUUUUAAUUUUUAUUUUCAUCCAGUGAUUUUUUCAUAAUUAUAUUUUUAUUUGCCCUAUCCUUAAUCAAUUUUUUUUUUGGCAACGGAAGUUGAUAAAUUUAGAGAGAGUACUGGUUAAAUUACAUAUUAAUUUAUUUUCAUUCGAGGUUAUAUAAGUUAUUAAAUUACUUUACAUAUUAUAAUGAUCAGACAAAUUAAUGUUAUAAUCUAACUACUUAUAUUAUGUUAUUUGUAAUCUCAACACUCUCUCUCAAUUACAAUAAUAUGAUUGUCACUUAACAAUUAGUUUAUACAGCCUUAUGGAUGGUUGAAAUUCACAAUUUAAUUCAAACUCUGAUACCAUGAUAAAUUUGGAGAGAGUAUUGAUCAAAUUACAUAUUAAUUCAUUUUUAUUUGAGCUUAUAUAAGUAAUUAAAUUAUUUUAUACAUCAAAAUGAUUAGCCAUAUCAAUGUUAAUCUAAUCACUUACAUUUGCCCUUUUAUAUUUAUGCUUUCCUCAUGUGGCGUUUAUAAUCUCAACAGAGGCUCUGUACACAAAGCUCCACAUUAAGUAUGAUGCUGUAAAGAAGAAAAAAAUUUCUGAAUUGGAUGAGAUCAACAAAGAUCAAGAAGUAUAGUUUUUGAAUUACAUGACAGCUGCAGAAGAGCUGAUACAACAUUUGAAAGUUGAAAAUGACAGGUUGCAUGAACAAGUUAGUGAAUUGAGAAACCAAGUUGUUUCAAUCAGGCAUAGAUUUCCUUUUUUUUUUUUUUUUUGCCUUAUUUUGUAUUUAUUUUGAUCCUUUUUGUAUAUUUGUUUUAUUUAUUAUGACAAGAAUCGGUUAUUUCGUGUGCACACUGCCAAAAGCUGUUAAUGGCAGAGAACCAGAAGAUUAAGAACCCAAAAUUGCUGGACUAAUAUUACGGUUUUUAUGAUUUUUUCUUUAAUCAAUCAUGUCAAGUUAAUUCAAUUAUCCACUGACACUGAGGCUGUUGCUUGGUCA